UACAGAGGAGCCAAGCGUUGUCCGGAUUGACUGGGCGUAAAGCGCACGCAGGCGGAUGCGCGCGUGGGGUGUGAAAUCUGGCCGCUUAACGGCCAGGCGCCAUCCCAUACGGCGCGUCUGGAGUGAUGCAGAGGUCGGUGGAAUUGCCGGGUGUAGUGGUGAAAUGCGUAGAGAUGCGGAGGAACACCGAUGGCGAAGGCAGCCCCCCUGGGCUAACACUGACGCUCAGGCACGAAAGCGUGGGGAGCAAACAGG
rnacentral:rRNA from 1 species